rnacentral:lncRNA from 1 species
UUUUGAAUAAUUUCUCCGAGUGAUCAGGGGAAAGUGUGCGUAGCUCGUAAACCUCCUCCCUGUUGGCUACAUCUCGAUUGCGAGUAGUUGUGAUUACUCUACUUCCAGUGUCAUUGUUAACCAAAGCUGAUUUGAUUAUGUUCCAAGUUGUUAUGUCCCAUACAUCGUCAAUAACGAUGAAGUACCUUGCAACAUGACAGUACAGAUCAAUACCCAGAGUUGAUAACCGUUGAGCAUGUAUAAAACCAAAGAAGAGUGAUAAAGUAUAGAAUACAAUCUUAAAAAUGCUAGCAAAAAUUUACUAAUGUAAUGUAUUUUAUUAUCUAAAAUCUACUCAAUAUUUAUGUUCUUGAUGUAAAUAUUGUAUUUUAUAAAGUAAACAUUAUCUUUAUAACAACAGGAGAGUUUUAUCUACAAUAGAGUCUCAUUCCUUAAAGUUCAAUUGUUUUAGUAUAAUGAUAGAUAGCAUAUCAGGGAGUAACUUUAAAUGUCUGCAUCCAAUAGAUAGCAUACCAAAGUCUACAUUGGAAAAGUCUAUGGCUAUGAUAUAGUUAAGGAAGCCUCCAAUUUGUGAAAGUUGUGCUCAACUAAAAAUUCAUAAGGAAACGGAAACAUUUUCAUAACUCUACAAUUUGUGUAAAGAUGAAGCGGAGAAACUACUAAUUUGAUGUGAUAUGCUUGUCAUCUAGCUAAGAGCAUUAAUAUAAGUGGCUACUAAUCAAUGCAUACCUCUUGUUUUGGAGGAAUUUUCGGAGUUCUCCAAUGAGCAGGGAUUGGUCCUUUACAUUAUGAAUGGCCGUGUAUUCGUUUUUGUCGAGAAGGUACAAUAUGUUGCUCAAG